GUCCAGGGGCGGGAAUCGAACCCACAACCUUCUGCUUACCGGGCAGGUGCCAUGUCCUCGAGGCUACCCUGGA